rnacentral:rRNA from 1 species
AGAACGAACGCUGGCGGCAUGCCUAACACAUGCAAGUCGAACGCUCACCGGGCUUCGGUUCGGUGGGAGUGGCGCACGGGUGAGUAGCGCGUGGGAACCUGCCCUGUUGUGGGGGAUAACCGAGGGAAACUUCGGCUAAUACCGCAUGCGCCCGGGGAAACCCGGGGAAAGAUUUAUCGCAGCAGGAGGGGCCCGCGUCGGAUUAGGUAGUUGGUAGGGUACGGCCUACCAAGCCUUUGAUCCGUAGCUGGUCUGAGAGGAUGAUCAGCCACACUGGGACUGAGACACGGCCCAGACUCCUACGGGAGGCAGCAGUGGGGAAUAUUGGACAAUGGGCGCAAGCCUGAUCCAGCCAUGCCGCGUGAGUGAUGAAGGCCCUAGGGUUGUAAAGCUCUUUUGUGCGGGAAGAUAAUGACGGUACCGCAAGAAUAAGCCCCGGCUAACUUCGCGCCAGCAGCCGC